GACGAACGCUGGCGGCAUGCCUAACACAUGCAAGUCGAGCGAGCAGAUCCCUUCGGGGUGAAGCUAGCGGCGGACGGGUGAGUAACACGUGGGCAACCUGCCUCAUAGAGGGGAAUAGCCUUCCGAAAGGAAGAUUAAUACCGCAUAAGAUUGUAGCUUCGCAUGAAGCAGCAAUUAAAGGAGCAAUCCGCUAUGAGAUGGGCCCGCGGCGCAUUAGCUAGUUGGUGAGGUAACGGCUCACCAAGGCGACGAUGCGUAGCCGACCUGAGAGGGUGAUCGGCCACAUUGGGACUGAGACACGGCCCAGACUCCUACGGGAGGCAGCAGUGGGGAAUAUUGCACAAUGGGGGAAACCCUGAUGCAGCAAUGCCGCGUGAGUGAUGACGGCCUUCGGGUUGUAAAGCUCUGUCUUCGGGGACGAUAAUGACGGUACCCGAGGAGGAAGCCACGGCUAACUACGUGCCAGCCGCCGCAGUAAGAC
rnacentral:rRNA from 1 species